GACAGAGGGUGCAAACGUUGUUCGGAUUUACUGGGCGUAAAGCGCGCGUAGGCGGACCUGCAAGUCGGGGGUGAAAGCCCGAGGCUCAACCUCGGAACUGCCUUCGAUACUGCGGGUCUCGAGUCCGGGAGAGGUGAGUGGAAUUCCCAGUGUAGCGGUGAAAUGCGUAGAUAUUGGGAGGAACACCAGUGGCGAAGGCGGCUCACUGGACCGGUACUGACGCUGAUGCGCGAAAGCGUGGGGAGCAAACAGG
rnacentral:rRNA from 1 species